AACAUGAUAUCAAUUUUCAUUGGCCUAAUGUAAACAAAAGCACUUUCUCCGCACUCGUGAGUCGAUCUGCCCUGGAACCAAACAGUUAAAAUUUGAAUUUUUCAAACUUCGUAACCGCACCUCUCGUUAAAAUAUUUCUUCUCAACCAGACCUGUCGACUCUCCCGGUUCCCCCCGGGAGACUCCCAGUUUUGACCUUUUUCUCCCGGUCUCCCGAUUCAAAUAUCUGGCAAGAAAUAGUAAUCGUGUGAAAAUCACUCGUAUCCAAGCUGAAACUUACUCCAUCAACUACAAGUGUUCGUCCAAAAAAAUUUCGGUCAAUGUACCAUUUUAG